rnacentral:rRNA from 1 species
GGGAGCGAUCAUACCAGCACUAAUGCACCGGAUCCCAUCAGAACUCCGAAGUUAAGCGUGCUGGGGCGAGAGUAGUACUAGGAUGGGUGACAUCCUUGGAAGUCCUCGUGUUGCACCCA